GCAAAACGCGAAGAACCUUACCAAGGCUUGACAUGCACGGGAAGCCACCAGAGAUGGUGGUCUCUUUGGACACUCGUGCACAGGUGGUGCAUGGUUGUCGUCAGCUCGUGUCGUGAGAUGUUGGGUUAAGUCCCGCAACGAGCGCAACCCUCGUCCCAUGUUGCCAGCGGGUUAUGCCGGGGACUCAUGGGAGACUGCCGGGGUCAACUCGGAGGAAGGUGGGGAUGACGUCAAAUCAUCAUGCCCCUUAUGUCUUGGGCUUCACGCAUGCUACAAUGGCCGGUACAAAGGGCUGCGAUGUCGUAAGGUGGAGCGAAUCCCAAAAAGCCGGUCUCAGUUCGGAUUGGGGUCUGCAACUCGACCCCAUGAAGUCGGAGUCGCUAGUAAUCGCAGAUCAGCAACGCUGCGGUGAAUACGUUCCCGGGUCUUGUACACACCG
rnacentral:rRNA from 1 species